CUUCCUUCCUAUGUGAGAAGACAGUCCACACCCAUUUCUAUCCUCUCUCUCUCUCUCAUGUAGAUCUUGAGCUAAGGCAGAAGCAUAAACAUCAGGUUUACAUCAAGAAUCUGCAUUGAGAAAUGGACUCCCACUUCUCUUCACUCUUUGUUAAGGCUAUAAUCUUAUGAUCUUCACGUCUCCUUUUAUUUCACAAAAUUUCUUUCAGAAACUUCACAUAAAAAGGCAUUUGGGAAAGAGUAUUAACGAAAAGCAUAUAGAUGUACAACUUCUUCAAGACUUCUAAAAAUUUUCUAAAUUUCUUGUCCAAUCUUGCUUUUUAAAACCUUUGUGGAAAAGGAAGCGGUGGCUAGUAAGGCUCUGAAGGACAUUUGUAAGGGCAUCGAAUUUGGCAUUGAUCAUGUUGAAUGGAUCAAGGUUACACAUCCUAGCUGCUUGUUUUUUUUGUGUUGGAGUUGGUUCUCUUGAAUUACUCCAUAGAUGGGUGCUCCUUGCUUUCUCUUCCAAUAAUUCAAAGGCUUCAUUCUCUUGCUUCAUGAUGAACUCACUUCUAGUUUGAGCAACAAUUAUCCCUCUGAUUAUUGGAGUAACAAUAUUAUAAAAAUUCUAAUUAAUCAUCUAUUUAGGAAUGGCAUGAUAUGGACAUUGCCUCUCCAACUCCUUUCAUCUCAUUUAGGACUGAUAGAGAGUUUCAUCUUUCCUAGGUCAAAAAGUAGUCAUAUGAUUUCUCAACUCUUGAGUUUUUCUAGGUGGAAAAUAUUGAGCUAGUAAUGUAUCAGUAAGCUCCUCCCAAUUUGUAAUAGAAUUAUGAGGAAGAGAAUCAAGCCAAUCUAAAGCUCUAUCCUUGAAAGAAAAUGGAAAUAAUUUAAGCCUUACUGCAUCGUCAGACACUCUUAGUUGCUUUUGCAUAUCACAGAUCAUUACAAAUUUCUCAAGAUGUAUGUAAGGAUUUUCUGAAGGAUGACCUCCCAAUCAUACUUCCCUAAGUAAAUUAGGAUUAACAUUUUCUUCCCUACGACCAUCAUUCUCAUCUCCACCAUUACCACCCAUUCGAACUCUUUCUUUAGCCAUUUCUAUUUUAAUUUCAGCUACUCUCAAAGCUUCUUUUCUUUUUCUGAUUUCUUUCUUAUUUGCUCCAUAAAACUUUUCAAUUUUAGGAUUAAAUAAAAGAGAUGUAUCACUUGCACUUCGAGCUCUUCUUAUAAAAGAUAAAAAAAAGUACCUAAAAAUAAUAAUUAAACACAAUAAAAAUAAAAUAAAAAUUAAAAUUAAUAACUAAAAUAAUCAAGAAUUGAAUCUUAAAUAAAUAACUCCCUGGCAACGGCGUCAAAAACUUGAUGUGGAGUCACUGCAAGUACAUGGGUUAUUCAAGUAAUAUAGAAAAUAGAUAUCGUUUCUUCGAAAGGUUGUGUUAUAAAUUGAAUUUUUAAUGUAAAAUGAAUUAUAUUAAAUUUUGUAAUAUAAUCAAACAAAUAAGAAAUUGAAAUUUGAAGUUUAGAAUGUGAAAAUGCAAAGUUCAAUGCAACGAAUGGCUAAUUCAAUAAUUGAAUAAACAAAAAAAAAAAAGAGUAUUAAUAAUGAAAAUUGAUAAAAUGAAAUUUAACUAAGCACUCAAAGGUAAAAUUCUAAGCAACAAUUGGUAAAAUACGAUAUGGAGUUAAGAGUUUAUAUUCAAGUCAAUUUGAAAUUUUCCCCAGUUAGCCCAAUCUAUGAAAUUAAUGAAUUUUAAGGAGAUUAAUUCUAAAAUUUUUUGAAAUCUCUUUUAAGUGAACCAAAGAAUAUUUUAGUUAAUUAAAUCCUACUUUCACGGAAUUUAAAAUCAACUAAAACCCAUUAAAAUCUUUAAUCAAUCUAUAAAACUCUCUUAAUCCUUAGUCUAUUUAUAAAUUUAAGUUAAUUAAGUCCAUUUUUUUAUUAUCUAUCAUUUGAUUUUUUCCUUUCAAUCUUUCAACCAAUGGUUAAAAACAUAACUCAAUGGGAUCCUAUACUAAGCAUGUUAUAAAAUACACAAGAAAUGGAUAAAACUUUAUAAAAAUCAUAAAAUCUGGUCUAACCUAAUUCAAAUCCAUAAAAUAACUAAAAUAAUACAUCCCUAGCUCUAAAAUCUUAAAAACUACUAAAUAUUUAUGUUCAAUACAAGAGAUUCUAAGUAAAAUAGGAAAUAAAAUAUAAAAGGUAAACUAAAACUAAAGAAACCUGAUGUUUGGUGUAAAGAAAUGGUGAAAAAGAAGAAGAAUCCAAGCUUUUGUAGACAAAAAUGGCGUGCGGCUCACUUUCUCUCUCUUCUAUUCUAAAUAUAUUUUCUUACAACAAAAAUAAUGUAAUAAUGCUUUUAUACCCCCUGACAAAACCCUAAAAUAGGCUAAAAAUAGUCUGCACUGAAGUUAUUGCAUGUGUGCAAUGAUUUGCCACAUCAGCUAAUUUGAGUGAAAAUGCAUAACUGGGAAGUACUUGUGCAAGAUCUUAUACAGAAUCAGGUUUGAGAAAGAUAGUUGAAGAUGGACUUGCAUGGCUAUGCAUGAUGUACACAUUUUGGCAAGUUUUAUAAUCCCUCCGUGUCAUUGUAUAAGCAAUUAUAUGGCCAUGCAAGAAGUUAUACAAGUUUCAAUAACUCUGGAUAAUUUUUUAGCUUUCUGCAUAAAUGUAGGAAGUCAUGCAACUUUCAACAACUCUAAAGUUGCUCUUCGAAUUUGUGCAUAAGCAGUUGCAUAGCCAUGCAGGAUCUUAUGUAACUUUCGGCAGAGUUGUAGCUAUUUUUCGGAUUUUUGCAUAAGCAAUUGCAUGGCCAUAAAGUAAAUUGUGCAACUUUCGGCAGAGUUCAGCACAUCUUUUAUUUUCUAGAUGCGAGUUACAUAAGCUGUAUAGCUCCUUAUACAGCUUUCAGCAGCUUUUAAAUUCAGCAAUAUUUACUCUUUAUUUUUAGCAUUUUUGAACUUGCAAUUAAUUCAAAAAUGUAAUUGACUCCUAAUUCUUUAAAAAUACCAUUUAACCUACAAAACAAGAAUCAAUUCAUAAAUUAAACUAAAAUUAAUAAAUAUAAAAAACUAAUUAAAUAAUCAAUGAAAUUAAUUAAAAUUAAUCAAUAAAAAAGUAAAAAGACUAUGAAAUCCAAUCUAAUUAACUACAUGAUAUGUAUUAUUCGCCUAGCUCUUUCUUCUGACCUUUUUUGCCUUGAUGGCUGCCUUACAGUUCCGAUGCUUUGCAUUUAGCCUCCGUGGCCAGUCCAGGCAAAAACUAACACUACACCUUUGGUGCAAUGUACUAGACAAGUGUCCAAUCCGAGUUCAUUGGCAUGUUAAGCUCAAUUACAAGGAGUACUGGCUAGUGAAGGUCACCAUUACAAAUUUCAAUUACAGAAUGAAAAACACACAGUGGAAUAUAGUUGUGCAACACCCCAACUUUGAUAACGUCACCCAGAUUUUCAGCUUUAACUAUAAAUCAUUAACUCCUUAUGAUGGAUUAAGUGAGUUAACUCUUGCUAGAUAUCUAUCCAUCUGCCUUUGUUCCACCACCACCACCACCGUCACUUCUCCCUCCCCGCCACAACCCCUCCCCCCCUUGUGUAAAGGGGAUAGCCCGUUACCCCAUGAAGAUUGGCCAAACCCAGACAAGCCGUAGGCCUACAAGAUGGUUAAAGGGUACGAUUGAUGAGAAAGAGAAGUUUAACGGACACUUUUAUAAAUAUAAAAAAGUGCAGGGGGUGACCACUGAGACAUACUGAUAUCUCUUCCUGUCAGAGGUCAUUUUGUGACUAGUUGGCCAUUGGUGAGCACGGUGGGGCCCAGCUAGUUGCUAAGUUUGGUGUCAAGCUCUCCACCAUCCCCAGGGUCACUGGCGCAAGGGCGGGACUCUAAGUGAGCUCCCUACAUACUCAUUGUACUAGGUGGCGGGCAUUGUGCUAUCGUGAGAUAAGAGAGCUCGGUGUCUCCAUGAAGAAGGAGCUUCAUGGACACUACAAGGCCGAGGGGCUUGUAGUGCGCGUCUCUCCUAGGCCCGAGGUUUUCAUAUAAGGCCGACAAUGUUGUUCGGUAUAAGGGCCAAUGAUGCUACUCGGUAUAGGGGAACAAAUAUUAUACAUUGGCUUUGGGUUCAGCCAUUAUUGCCUUGCUUUUGGACGAUGCUUGUAGAUGUACAUGAUGAAAGGCAACAUCGUGCUACAAGGAAUAGCAAUGCUCAAUUACGGGGCUAGAUACCUGGGAGACCCUCCAUUAGAGUAUUUGAGUUCCUCUAUAAGAGGAAAAGUCCUAGGCUGGCCUAGAUUGGGUGGAAGCCUAGGUGCUACAUGGUACUACUGUCCGAGCUAGGAAGUGGCCCCGUGACACCUUGCACGCGUAAAAGCUUUCACAAUUCUCCUGUUUUGGGAUUAAUGUGAAUUUUGGGAAAUGAAUUAUGUUUGCAGAUGAUACGGCCAUGUUAUGGGGAGUUGAGUUCUAAAAUGAUUCGCUCUCACAAGCUGGUGCUCUUGGAAAAGGGAUGGGCUUUCCCUAGGAGGAUUUAUUUUAACGGUGAUAAUUGUCUGAUGCCAACUCCAGAUGCCUACCCGUGGUUGCCAAAUGACAGUUCCUGUCCAAUCAUGUCUCUAUUUUGUCUAAUCAUGACAUUCUUGGUGUAUUUUGUCUUCUUUUUCGCAUAGAUGUGAUGAAUCAUGUCUGAGCCAAACUACAAAUCUAUUUGUUCUUCUUACAAUCUGUAAACCUGAUCUGGUAUGACCCACUCGCGAAAAUCCAGUCUAUGGGCUCAAAUGUGUCGAGUGCUGGAAGUUGAUACAACACAAGGUGCUUCAGAUGCAUUGUAUCAUAAUAGAUUUUUUUUUCCAGUUCCUAUAUGCCACAUCCUACACCACAUAACGGAAAAACAGAAGUUGAUGAACUUUGAAUUGACAGAAGGCAAGUAAAAAAUGAAUCAAUUUGAUUUUAUACUGAUGCACUGCAGAUGCCUUGGAAAUUCC